AGGAUUUUCCCCUUCGGGGGACAGAGUGACAGGUGGUGCAUGGUUGUCGUCAGCUCGUGUCGUGAGAUGUUGGGUUAAGUCCCGCAACGAGCGCAACCCUUGAUCUUAGUUGCCAGCAUUUAGUUGGGCACUCUAAGGUGACUGCCGGUGACAAACCGGAGGAAGGUGGGGAUGACGUCAAAUCAUCAUGCCCCUUAUGACCUGGGCUACACACGUGCUACAAUGGAUGGUACAAAGGGCUGCAAGACCGCGAGGUUUAGCCAAUCCCAUAAAACCAUUCUCAGUUCGGAUUGUAGGCUGCAACUGUCCUACAUGAAGCCGGAAUCGUUAGUAAUCGCGGAUCAGCAUGCCGCGGUGAAU
rnacentral:rRNA from 2 species